GCCCAGUGAGCAGAACAAUAAAACAAUUUAAAUAUCACAUGCUUUUAUGAAAUGCAUCACAACACAAGUAAAUCACCUUAAGAUGGUAUUGUCACCAAUAGCCCUCUACAUAUCCAAUAAAUGCCCGGCCCUCGACGGAGCUCCUCAGGACUUCCUCUUAAACAUAACAUAACAUGUCCAACUGUGCCAGGGGCGUAGAAUGGGCAACCCUGGUCUUUUCCUUACUUUGUGCUAGGGGCGUAGAAUGGGCAACUCUGGUCUUUCUG
rnacentral:lncRNA from 1 species